AUGUGAGGGUGUAUUUGUGAGUCAGGAGCUUGUCUAGAGACAGAAUUUACCCCUGAGCAGGUAACUAUGACAUCAGAGACUAUGACAUCAAGGGUGGACUGUGAAUACAGGGUGGGCGGGGGCAGGUCCCACACUUGGAUACCAGCAGCGAUGGGAAGCCAUGACACCUGUGGGGCUGCUCUGCCCUGGUCUUCUCUUCAGCGCCUGGGACUAGCAAUUGUGCCCUUCCACUAUGAAUUGCCUUGGGUUACCUAGGACCCAGCAUAUUCAGGCUCAGACCCUUCCUCUAAGUUGGGACCAUUAAGGGACCCCCCCCAGAAGUGCCAGCAGGGGGGACCUCACUGAAUUGCUCCCCAGAAAUCUAAGGGCAGGCCUAUGGUGCAGGAGCCAAGGGCCUGAAGGUGUAGGCACCUGCCUGGAGGAAGAGGCUGCGCUUGGAGCUUAGCUGGGAAAGUAUCCAACUCCCACAAGGACUCGGGGCCAACACUGAAAAACCUCAAGCUCACCAAAUCUCUCUCCCCUCUCCUGUCCCUUCCCUGUGUCUGUCCUUAAAAGAAGGCAGCAUGG